CAGUAGCCGCGGUAAUACGUAGGGUGCAAGCGUUAAUCGGAAUUACUGGGCGUAAAGCGUGCGCAGGCGGUGUUGUAAGACUGAUGUGAAAUCCCCGGGCUCAACCUGGGAACUGCAUUGGUGACUGCAACGCUGGAGUGCGGCAGAGGGGGAUGGAAUUCCGCGUGUAGCAGUGAAAUGCGUAGAUAUGCGGAGGAACACCGAUGGCGAAGGCAAUCCCCUGGGCCUGCACUGACGCUCAUGCACGAAAGCGUGGGGAGCAAACAGGAUUAGAUACCCGCGUAGUCCCUGUCUCUUAUAA
rnacentral:rRNA from 1 species